CAGUAGCGUAUAUUAAAGUUGUUGCAGUUAAAAAGCUCGUAGUUGGACAUCUGUCGGGUCAAAACCCCGGUUUAGAUCUGACAUCCGCCUGAUUAAUACUACGUGAGAUUCUAUUCUCUGUAGUGUGAACAGGCCUUUUACCUUGAGGAAACUAGAGUGUUUAAAGCAGGCAUAUGCUUGUAUACCGCAGCUGGGAAUAAUGCAAUAAGACCGAAGUCUUUUGCUUGGCGGAAAAACUUCGGUAAUGAUUAAUAGGGACAGUUGGGGGCAUUCGUACUCAGCAGUCAGAGGUGAAAUUCUUGGAUUUGCUGAAGACGGACUAGUGCGAAAGCAUUUGCCAAGGAUGUUUUCAUUAA
rnacentral:rRNA from 1 species